AUAGUAACGCUAUGGACUAUAGUUUCACCUCUGCUCCAAUGCUUACGUACAGAACUAUUGGAGGCAUACUAGACUUCUACAUGUUCUUCGGACCUUCCCCAGAAAAUGUGAUACAGCAAUACACAGAGGUGAUCGGCAG